UACGGAGGGUGCAAACGUUGCUCGGAAUCACUGGGCGUAAAGCGCGCGUAGGCGGUCCAGAAAGUUGGAUGUGAAAGCCCUGGGCUCAACCCAGGAAGUGCAUUCAAAACUAUUGGACUUGAAUCUCGGAGGGGGCCAGAGAAUUCCCGGUGUAGAGGUGAAAUUCGUAGAUAUCGGGAGGAAUACCAGUGGCGAAAGGC
rnacentral:rRNA from 1 species